UUGCACCUCUUGAGAGCGGCGGACGGGUGAGUAAUGCCUAGGAAUCUGCCUGGUAGUGGGGGAUAACGCUCGGAAACGGACGCUAAUACCGCAUACGUCCUACGGGAGAAAGCAGGGGACCUUCGGGCCUUGCGCUAUCAGAUGAGCCUAGGUCGGAUUAGCUAGUUGGUGAGGUAAUGGCUCACCAAGGCGACGAUCCGUAACUGGUCUGAGAGGAUGAUCAGUCACACUGGAACUGAGACACGGUCCAGACUCCUACGGGAGGCAGCAGUGGGGAAUAUUGGACAAUGGGCGAAAGCCUGAUCCAGCCAUGCCGCGUGUGUGAAGAAGGUCUUCGGAUUGUAAAGCACUUUAAGUUGGGAGGAAGGGUUGUAGAUUAAUACUCUGCAAUUUUGACGUUACCGACAGAAUAAGCACCGGCUAACUCUGUGCCAGCAGCCGCGGUAAUACAGAGGGUGCAAGCGUUAAUCGGAAUUACUGGGCGUAAAGCGCGCGUAGGUGGUUCGUUAAGUUGGAUGUGAAAGCCCCGGGCUCAACCUGGGAACUGCAUUCAAAACUGUCGAGCUAGAGUAUGGUAGAGG
rnacentral:rRNA from 1 species